GACGAACGCUGGCGGCGUGCUUAAUACAUGCAAGUAGAACGGAAAGGCCCGGCGCUUGUGCCGAGCGGGAGUGUCGAGCACGGGUGUGUCACGUGUGUGUCCUCUGCUUGGCUUUGGGAGAACAUCAGGGGAAUCGAGCGCUAAUAGGACAUAAGCGUCUACGUCACGUGGGGUGUGCGUAAGUUUCGGCGGUUCGGGAUGAACACGUGGAUUAGCGGCUUGUUGGCUGGGUGGUGGGGUAACAAGGCAUGGACGGGUAGCCGGCCUGAGAGGGUGACCGGCCACAUUGGGACUGGGGUACGGGCCAGACUGCUACGGGAGGCAGCAGUGGGAGAUAUUGCACAAUGGGCGGAAGCCGGAUGCAGCAACGCCGCGUGCGGGAUGACGGCCUUCGGGGUGUAAACCGCUUGCGCCUGUGACGAAGAGUGAGUGACGGUAAUGGGUAAAGAAGCACCGGCUAACUACGUG
rnacentral:rRNA from 1 species